GAUGACAAUAGUUGUGUUUUAGAUUCACCUCCAGGUCCUGAAAUCCAAAUCGUCCGAGCGGUGAUGUUUCCAGAUGUGGGGCUGAAGUCAGUGAGAUCAGCAGUGAAUAGCUGAGCCUCCCAGUAAACAACCAGCCUGCCAAUUGCACCAGCAAGUCGCACCACUGAUAGUUGCACAACGUUGUCUGGUGGCCUCUUCACACUGGGCUGCCCUGCUCCAACUGACCCUCUGACCAGCUCCACUCUGGUGAUAUUCACCAAGAAACUCUCUUCCAGCUCUGGAAUAUCAUCCUUAGAAAAAAACACGAGUACAUGGAAAAUAAAUAAUGGAAAAUCAAUGAUAUCAUGUAUAUAAACAGAUGUUUUUCCAUAUAUCUAAAGGCUUUGAACUGCAGUUAAAUGAGAAAAUAGCAAUAAUCUUGGAUUUUGUAAGAUUUAUUUACAUUAAAUGAUUUAUACAAUCAUCAAAAAAUGUCAAAAGUCACAUUAAUGCAAGUUUUAAAGGGAGAAACAUAGAAGGGUGAGGAAGAAUGAAAGAGGCUAUAUAAGAGAAGACAAAG